AUGAGUCAUUAAUUUGGUGAUUAUGAUAACAUAAGGGAAAAAAAAUGAUAUUACCUUAUUAUUAGUGUUGUCCAAAACUGGUGCCAGAAGACUCGGUAAGACCAGAGACGCAAACGUUAGUCAUCUUAAUCAGGCGUAAAGGGUGUGUAGGCUGCUUUAAAAGUUUAAAUCUUUUUAAUAGCUCUUUUGCCGUUGUCAUACCAUUAUUUUUUUGUUUUUGUUUUUUGUUUUAUAAAUAAUAAACAAAAAUGAAUAUAAAGGUAGUACAUUUUAUAAAUUUAAUUAAUUUAAUUAAUUUAAUUAAUUUAAUUUUAUAAUUAUAAAGGGGACAAAAAAGAUAUCCCGGUUUAAGUAAAAAGAAUAAAAUGAAUUAAAGCUAGGAUCAAAUUGAGGAUAAACCAAAUAAUACUUAGAGUAGGGCCGAUAUCCGCAGAUACUAAGGGGAAUACUAAAGGUGAAAGCUUUUUAUCUACUAUUGAUUGACGCUGAGAAACGAAGGUGAGAACAGGAAAUAGGAUUUGAUACCCAGAUACCUCUCACUGUCAACGAUGAAUGGUGGUUGUUAGUUUUAAUAAAAACUGGUAACGAUGUUAACACGAUAACCAUUCCGCCUUGCGAGUACGGUUGCAAAACUGAAACCAAAAAAAUUA
rnacentral:rRNA from 1 species